UACGAAGGGGGCUAGCGUUGUUCGGAUUUACUGGGCGUAAAGCGCACGUAGGCGGAUCGUUAAGUCGGGGGUGAAAUCCUGGAGCUCAACUCCAGAACUGCCUUCGAUACUGGCGAUCUUGAGUCCGGAAGAGGUGAGUGGAACUCCCUAGUGUAGAGGUGGAAUUCGUAGAUAUUAGGAAGAACACCAGUGGCGAAGGCGGCUCACUGGUCCGAUACUGACGCUGAGGAGCGAAAGCGUGGGGAGCAAACAGG
rnacentral:rRNA from 1 species